UUCUUCGUAUAUUUUCUUGCACCAUCACGAUUGCGCCGAGUUGAACUCGUCGAUAACGUGUACGGCGCACGAAGGAAAGACGCCUGGGCGCAGUAGCGCAUGCGCGAACAGCUGAUAAUCGUCAGUGAAAUAUACAUAUAAGAAGCGGCCGCCGGGAGGCCCGCCCGUCAUACUGAAUUGGACGCUAUACCAUGCUAUACGUAGCCCGUGUCAGCUGAACCAGCGAUUGGCGACUUUAGACGCCACUUCACCGACUCCUUUCACCGCCGGGUUCUAAGCUGUGAGGCGUGCUCGAAGCUUUGCGUCGCGGCUACUCCAGUUAGGACCUCAACUUCUGCAAGCGCGGUUAUACCAGGCUAGCACGACCCAUUGGUGCUCCUGGAAUGCAUAUGCUACGCUCGGCGGCCAUUUCAUCCCUUCUCACGCAUCAGCUGUCACGCUUCCCGCAAACGCUUCCGUUGCUGUCUUAAGUCGCGCCUGCAGUCAAGUUUUCUUUUGUUUGUGUGCGCCUGGAUAAAGAACUGACUGCGCCAAUCAACUGGAGUACAACGAAGCAACUGUCGUCGCCCCGUGCCUUCCAGCUAACCUACAAGGUGAAUCCCGUGCAACCAAGUGACCGUGUCACUACUACGGGGGACAACGCAACCAAGUGACCAUGGCAAUUCUCCGAGGGACAACGGAGCAACCGUCAUCGCUACGUUCGAUCUUCGGCAGUUAUAUUCACCAGGUGCGAUUCUAGCUUGCGAGGGUGGCGCGGCUAUUAAAUCAACUAAUUGGCAAUGUUAACUGUUUUAGACUGAUUGGCAAGAGAAGGCCGCUGCCACAUUGGGUCGUUGUCGUGACGGAAGCGGAGAGGACUGGGCGGGGCGAUUGUAGCUUUAGGCUUAGCUGACACUACGAAGGGUAGCUCGCACUGCGCAGGCUCCAGCUGGCAGGGGUCCUCUCUCGUUUGCGACACGGACAUCGGCCCAUUCCGAGUGCUAUUGCUUCCCGUUCAUAAUUUCGCGUGUCGGCGCGCGCGAAAUGUGGAAGUAAAUUGCACCCGGAAUUAAUUAGCGUCAGGUUUCUUCCAGCGAAACAGAAGAAGAACGGACGUUGCCUACGGUCUGCAGCGCGGUGCGCUGCGGCGAAGACGGUGGUGGGUGGCCACUUUUUUUUUUCUUCCGUAUGUUCUCGUCCCUACGGCUGUGUCACGCCGUGCUUUCGUCGCUCGACAAGCCAACCAUCGUAGACUAGUCCCAUCGCCCACUCCAGUGCGAUGACACUUGGUGAGUACGUGCUUUCUGGUUACUUUCAUCAUUUAACAAGUGCCUUUUUUGUUAGGUUUCAGUUCUGCAACCUGUGCCUUGGCCCCUGGCACAUGUUCCUGCACCCGGUCGUGUCUGGCGCAGAUCACGUUCAGCACCCGUCUGUCGUCCAGCAGCUGAUCGUGUCUUCACUUCUGUUCCUGCCUCACUGCUAUUCGGGUCCUGGUGAAUGAAGAUGCCUGCAAUCCCCGCCCUGCAGAACGUCCACUGUACUCUGCCACACGCACGCGACCGAGUUUCCUGCACCCGGUCGUGUCUCGUACAGAUGUUCAGCACCUGCCGUCCUACGGCUGAUCAUGUCGCAUUUGUUCCUGUCUCACUGCUUUUGGUGUCCUGCUGCAUGAAGAUGCCUGCAAUAUCCGUGCUGCAGUACGUAGACUGCACGUAGUCUGCAUCCUUUGGUGCCACACGCACGCGACGGAUUUUCCUGCACCCGGUCGUGUCUCGCACAGAUGUUCAGCACCUGCCGUGCCACGGCUGAUCGUGUCACUUCUGUUUCUGCCUCAUUACUAAUGGUGUCCUGCUGAAUGAAGAUGCCUGCAAUCUCCGUGGUGCAGUACGUCGACUGCACUCUGCAACCCUUGUCUUGACAUCUGCCGCCCAUCAAGGUCUGUCCCACCAGCGUAGUAGACAAUGACACCAAGUGCAGACCGUAAGGAGGCAGGCGUUGCUCUCGCCACUCAUCGCCUUGCUGCUCCCAAAAGUCACGCUGCAGGAAACGUUCUUCACUGCCUCGACAAGGCCACACAACUAUGAAGUCCCAAGAAACAGCACGACGUCGCGUGACAUGAAUGCUCAUCUAACAUCCCGGUUUGAGUUAUUCGAUCCACCCUAUCGCAGUACUACGGCCACUCGAUGAAGUCGCAUGUUCUUCAGUGGCUGCGACCGUAUUAUGUGGGUACCCAAAAAUCCCACGGGACAUGCUGUUCUAGCUCAUCGUAGUGGUACACUGCUCAGACUCUAGCAUUGGGUUGAUCUGGGGAUUUUCGCUUCUUACUUUCAAUGGCAUUCUAUGCUUUUGUAAUGGUACACCGAUGCUGCUUUGCGUUGCCGAAUUGUGUGUGCAUGCGCUCGUGUGUGUGUGUGUGCGAGCGCGCGCCUUUGAGUGUUUGUGUGUGUGUGUGCGCGCGCGCGCGCCUUUGAGUGUUUGUGUGUGUGCGCGCGCGCGCCUUUGAGUGUUUGUGUGUGUGCACGCGCGCGCCUUUGAGUGUUUGUGUGUGUGCGCGCGCGCGCCUUUGAGUGCUUGUGUGUGUGCGCGCGCGCGUCUUUGAGUGUUUGUGUGUGUGUGUGUGUGUGUGCGCGCGCGCCUUUGAGUGUUUGUGUGUGUGCGCGCGCGCGCCUUUGAGUGCUUGUGUGUGUGCGCGCGCGCGUCUUUGAGUGUUUGUGUGUGUGUGUGUGUGUUGCGCUCAUUUCAUCUGGUAGUUCACAUCAUUCUGGCUGGGGUGCAUUUCCAAUUCAUCCACGAAUCGUUUGACUGGUUUCUUGCAAUCGGUGACAUCCUUCUGUAAGCUCGUCGAAUGCUCUGCGGUGGUGGCUGCGAAUUGUUUCGAAAACUCUUGCAACGUUUGCACUGUACAACUCAUCCACUCGUAGAUUUAAUUGUGGCACCUAGUAGUUGUCAAAUUCUUUGGUAUUCCAAGGGAUUUCUGUUCGUAUCUUUUCCUCAUUCACAUAUUCUUGGUCUUUCAAGUGACUCAUCGUGCACAAUGCAAAACAGCAUCAAUGUACCAUAACAAAAAGCACAUGGUGUGAAUUAAAUCCUACAAUUAUGAGCACAUCCUUUGAAAUCUGGUGCCGGCAUGGCACCAAGCUCUUACAUUUUUUACUGUCUGCCAUCAUUAAUGAUGAUAAUAAAGCAGUGUACCACCCUCCAAGGCAGGUUCUGGAUAGCUCUUCAGACAAAACUACCACACAUGCCUGCUGUAUUCAACAGACUGUUUUGUCACAGUUCCUUUUGUCCAACAGGAGUGUUUACUGCCCUGUGUAAACUUACCUGCCUGUGUUUAUUUACUAUGACUUAUUUGCUAUUUCUAUGACAUGCAUUUGCUCACUGAUGUUCCCUGUGACUGAAUAAAAUAGCAAGGAUGUUCUUUCAUAUUAUCUUUCUUGCACUGUUUGCCCCUAUGUGAAAAAGAUUGUAAGAACUACCUCUUACACAAUAAAUUCUUUGCCCAGUUGCUUGAAGUGUACAGUUCUGAAAAUUAAAAUUGAGCCUGUGAA